rnacentral:lncRNA from 1 species
UCUCCCCUUUCUCCCAAAGCUUAAGACAAUAACUAAAAAUAAAUAAAUAAAUUGAUUGCCACCGCUUGCUUCUGCUCUGUUACUUGCUUUCGCUCUCUCCUGUCCCUGCUUCCGCCUUUCUCCUCUUGAUCACAGUUCUCUCUUUUUAUAGAGUAAAUUUGGGUUGAAAUUGACUAAUACUGGGCUCUCAAUCAUGUUCA